rnacentral:rRNA from 1 species
UACGAAGGGUGCUAGCGUUGCUCGGAAUCACUGGGCGUAAAGGGUGCGUAGGCGGAUCUUUAAGUCAGGGGUGAAAUCCUGGAGCUCAACUCCAGAACUGCCUUUGAUACUGGGGAUCUUGAGUUCGGGAGAGGUGAGUGGAACUGCGAGUGUAGAGGUGAAAUUCGUAGAUAUUGGCUGGAACACCGGUGGCGAAAGCGGCUCUCUGGUCCGGAUCUGACGCUGAGGCGCGAAAGCGUGGGGAGCAAACAGG